rnacentral:rRNA from 1 species
AUUGAACGCUGGCGGCAUGCUUUACACAUGCAAGUCGAACGGUAACAGGCCUUCGGGUGCUGACGAGUGGCGAACGGGUGAGUAAUGCAUCGGAACGUACCCAGAGGUGGGGGAUAACGCGGCGAAAGCUGUGCUAAUACCGCAUGUGAUCUGAGGAUGAAAGCGGGGGACCGAGCAGCAAUGUUUGGCCUCGCGCCUUUGGAGCGGCCGAUGUCGGAUUAGCUAGUUGGUGGGGUAAAGGCCUACCAAGGCGACGAUCCGUAGCUGGUCUGAGAGGACGACCCGCCCCCGGGGGCCUGGGACCCCCCCCAGCCCCCGACGGAGGGCAGCAGGGGGGAAUUUGGGAAAAGGGGCGAACGCCUUACCCAGCAAUGCCGCGGGCGGGAAGAAGGCCUUCGGGUUGUAACCCGCUUUUGGCGGGAACGAAACGGGUUCCGCUAAUACCGGGGGGUAAGGAGGGUACCUGAAGAAUAAGCACCGGCUAACUACUU